CAAUUUCCUGACAAAAUACAUUUUCUUUGCUUACUUCUUCUCACAAUACAUUUAUGGUCAUUACCAUUUUAAUGACACCAGUUGCUAUGAGAACAUUAUAAAACCACUUAUGGAAGCUGCACUUUCCCGUGUCAAAGCAAAUUAUAGUUGUUACUUACAGACGUUUAAUUAUUUAAAAUGUAGCUUCCAUCUCACAUAGUUUAUUCUCAUCUUCCUUUCAGAUACUUCUAUUAGACUGAUAAAUACUCUAUGGAAUCUCAUAAUCUGCUCGUGUAGUUUUGCACCCUCUUGUUCUGUAGCAGUAUUAUCUGAAGCGUAAACAUAGUUAUGAAGUAGCAAGAGUGAAUUUUAAGAUGCUGGUGUUUAGAAGGUAUUAAAUACGAAGACGUUAUUUAAUCUAGCACUUGCUGUAUUUAAGAGUAUCAAAUCAUCACACUACUGCAGUCACACUAAAAAGACUUUCUGUAGAAAAAAUGUAAUUAUUUUGAGUUGAAGAACUAUUACAAUAUCGGUGGCCAAACGUAUAAGAAAUACUUCAAAUGUAGGUUAGUGCCAUUCAGUUACGUUGCGGUCUGUAUAGAAUAGAAUCAGUUCAGUGUUCUGCAUCUGAUGAUUAAGACUGCAAAUAAUUUCCAUAAACUACACUUAUAUAACAAUACCAGUGCCAUACCAAAGCCAAAAGAUGCCCAAAUGAGUCUGAAAAGCUGCAGACUGUUAGACCUUGGCUUAAUUGGGGUCACAGUCCAUACUUUAGUUUGAAAGCUAGUUUAACCCCUUAAGGACUGAGCCAAAUGUACACUAUAUGUCUGUCCAACCGUAAUUCACCUCUUUCAUAUUAAGUGCAUCCACACUUAUUAUAUAUCAAAAAAAAACAGGGCUUUCAUUUAACAUCAAAUAUUUAGCUAUGAAACAAUGUAAUGUGAAUAAAAUAUAAAAAAAAAUGGGAGAAAAGUAGUUCUACAUGACAUUUUAACUGUGAAUGUCAUAAUACUUUUUGCAAUAAAAUACACAUUUGUAUUCAGCUAUGUCUCACGUGUAAAACAGUACCACCGAUGUACAGGGUUUAUGGUGUUUUGGGAAGUUACAGGGUCAAAUAUAGCAUGUUACAUUUAUUUUAUUUUUUUCACAUUGAAAUUCGCCGGAUUGGUUACGUUGCCUUUGAAACUGUAUGGUAACCCAGGAAUGAGAAUUACUCCCAUGAUGGCAUACCAUACAUGAGUAAAGUAAAACAGGGAUUAGUUAGAUUAAAAACAAAAGAAGGAAGGUAUGUAGAAAAGGAUAAAGGUCUAGCUGACUGCCUCAAUUAAUAUUUUUGUUCAGUAUUUACAGAUGAAAAUGAAGGAAAGGGGCCUCAGUUAGGAAAAAGGACAAAUUAGUCAUUUGUUACAUGUGAGUUUACAGAGGAAGAGGUUCUAUUUCAACUGUCAAAAGUAAAGACAAAUAAGUCAAUGGGACCUGAUGGAAUACACCCAAAGCUAUUAAAAGAGCUUAGUGGUGUACUAGCAAAACCAUUAACAGAUUUAUUUAACCAAUCAUUGUUAACAGGAGUAGUCCCAGAAGAUUGGAAGUUAGCGAAUGUUGUGCCCAUUCACAAGAAAUGUAAUAGGGAGGAGUCAGGCAACUAUAGGCCAGUAAGCCUUACUUCAGUAGUGGGGAAAGUAAUGUAAACCAUGUUAAAGGAUAGGAUUGUUGAACAUCUAAAAACACAUGGAUCUCAAGAUCAGAGACAACAUGGGUUUACUUCAGGGAGAUCAUGCCAAACUAAUCUUAUUUUUUUGAUUGGGUAACUAAAAUAAUAGAUCAGGGUGGUAGAGUAGACAUUUCUUACCUAGAUUUCAGUAAGGCUUUUGACACUGUUGCACAUAGAAGGCUUAUCAAUAAACUGCAAUCAUUAAGUUUGGAUUCCAAUAUUGUAGAAUGGGUAUUGCAGGGGCUGAGUGACAGGCAACAGAGGGUUGUAGUCAAUGGAGUAUAUACGAAGCUUGGACUUGUCACCAGUGGGGUACCUCAAGGAUCUGUACUUGGACCCAUUCUCUUUAAUGUUUUUAUUAGUGAUAUUGCAGAAGGUCUUGAUGGUAAGGUAUGUCUUUUUGCUGGUG